rnacentral:rRNA from 1 species
GGACUACCAGGGUUUCUAAUCCUGUUUGCUACCCACGCUUUCGUGUCUCAGCGUCAGUUACGGUCCAGAGAGCCGUCUACACCACCGGUGUUCCUCCUGAUAUCUACGCAUUUCACCGCUACACCAGGAAUUCCACUCUCCCCUCCCGCACUCUAGUCCCCCAGUUUUCGGCGCACCCUCCCGGUUAAGCCGGGAGAUUUCACACCAAACUUAGAGGACCGCCUACACACCCUUUACGCCCAGUAACUCCGAACAACGCUCGCUGCCUACGUAUUACCGCGGCGGCUGGCAC